GAUUCCAUAGCUCAGCUGGAUAGAGCACUUCCCUCCUAAGGAAGGGGUCGCGCGUUCGAAUCGCGCUGGGAUCA
rnacentral:tRNA from 2 species